GAUGAACGCUAGCGGGAGGCCUAACACAUGCAAGCCGAGCGGUAUUGUUUCUUCGGAAAUGAGAGAGCGGCGUACGGGUGCGGAACACGUGUGCAACCUGCCUUUAUCUGGGGGAUAGCCUUUCGAAAGGAAGAUUAAUACUCCAUAAUAUAUUGAACGGCAUCGUUUAAUAUUGAAAGCUCCGGCGGAUAGAGAUGGGCACGCGCAAGAUUAGCUAGUUGGUGAGGUAACGGCUCACCAAGGCAAUGAUCUUUAGGGGGCCUGAGAGGGUGAUCCCCCACACUGGUACUGAGACACGGACCAGACUCCUACGGGAGGCAGCAGUGAGGAAUAUUGGUCAAUGGGUGCAAGCCUGAACCAGCCAUCCCGCGUGAAGGACGACUGCCCUAUGGGUUGUAAACUUCUUUUGUAUAGGGAUAAACCUUUCCACGUGUGGAAAGCUGAAGGUACUAUACGAAUAAGCACCGGCUAACUCCGUGCCAGCCGCCGCCGUAA
rnacentral:rRNA from 1 species